GCUGGGUGUGGUGGUGCACACCUGUAAUCUCAGCUACUUGGGAGGCUGAGGCAGGAGAAUUGCUUGAACCCAGGAGGCAGAGGUUGCAGUGAGCCGAGAUGGUGCCAUUGCACUCCAGCCUGGGUGACAGAGUGAGACUUUGUCUCAA
rnacentral:SRP_RNA from 2 species